UACGAAGGGGGCUAGCGUUGUUCGGAAUUACUGGGCGUAAAGGGCUCGUAGGCGGCCAACUAAGUCAGACGUGAAAUCCCUCGGCUUAACCGGGGAACUGCGUCUGAUACUGGAUGGCUUGAAUCCGGGAGAGGGAUGCGGAAUUCCAGGUGUAGCGGUGAAAUGCGUAGAUAUCUGGAGGAACACCGGUGGCGAAGGCGGCAUCCUGGACCGGCAUUGACGCUGAUGAGCGAAAGCCAGGGGAGCAAACGGG
rnacentral:rRNA from 1 species